AUGAACGCUUGCGGCGUGCCUAAUACAUGCAAGUCGAGCGAACGGACGAGAAGCUUGCUUUUCUGAUGUUAGCGGCGGACGGGUGAGUAACACGUGGAUAACCUACCUAUACGACUGGGAUAACUUCGGGAAACCGGAGCUAAUACCGGAUAAUAUUUUGAACCGCAUGUUUCAAAAGUGAAAGACGGUCUUGCUGUCACUUAUAGAUGGAUCCGCGCUGCAUUACCUAGUUGGUAAGGUAACGGCUUACCAAGGCAACGAUGCAUAGCAGAUCUCAGAGGGGGAUCGGCUAGAUUGGAACUGAGACAGGGUCCACACUCCUACGGGAGGCAGCAGUAGGGAAUCCUCCGCAAUGCGCUAAAGCCUGACGGAGCAACGCAGCGUGAGUGAUGAAGGUGUUCGGAUCGGAAAACUCUGUUAUUAGGGAAGAACAUAUGUGUAAGUAACUGUGCACAUCUUGACGGUACCUAAUCAGAAAGCCACGGCUAACUACGUG
rnacentral:rRNA from 1 species